AUACGUAGGUGACAAGCGUUAUCCGGAUUUACUGGGCGUAAAGGGCGUGUAGGCGGUCUUGCAAGUCAGAAGUGGAAUUCCUGAGCUCAACUCGGGCGCUGCUUCUGAAACUGCAGGACUUGAGUGCUGGAGGGGAUAGCGGAAUUCCUAGUGGAGCGGUAAAAUGCGCAGAUAUUAGGAAGAACACCGGUGGCGAAGGCGGCUAUCUGGCCAGUAACUGUCGCUGAGGCUCGAAAGCGUGGGGAGCAAACAGGAUUAGAUCCCCUGGUAGUCCACGCCGUAAACGAUGAAUACUAGGUGUUGGGUUCCAAUAGGGAUUCGGUGCCGCAGCUAACGCAAUAAGUAUUCCACCUGGGGAGUACGUUCGCAAGAAUGAAACUUAAAGGAAUUGACGGGG
rnacentral:rRNA from 1 species